rnacentral:rRNA from 1 species
GGCUCAGAUUGAACGCUGGCGGCAGGCCUAACACAUGCAAGUCGAGCGGUAGAGAGGUGCUUGCAUCUCUUGAGAGCGGCGGACGGGUGAGUAAUGCCUAGGAAUCUGCCUGGUGGUGGGGGAUAACGUUCGGAAACGGACGCUAAUACCGCAUACGUCCUACGGGAGAAAGCGGGGGGAUCUUCGGACCUCGCGCCAUUAGAUGAGCCUAGGUCGGAUUAGCUAGUUGGUGAGGUAAUGGCUCACCAAGGCGACGAUCCGUAACUGGUCUGAGAGGAUGAUCAGUCACACUGGAACUGAGACACGGUCCAGACUCCUACGGGAGGCAGCAGUGGGGAAUAUUGGACAAUGGGCGAAAGCCUGAUCCAGCCAUGCCGCGUGUGUGAAGAAGGUCUUCGGAUUGUAAAGCACUUUAAGUUGGGAGGAAGGGUAGUAACCUAAUACGUUGCUACUUUGACGUUACCGACAGAAUAAGCACCGGCUAACUUCGUG